AGCUCCAAUAGCGUAUAUUAAAGUUGUUGUGGUUAAAAAGCUCGUAGUUGGAUUUCGGCGGGUAUAGGUUGGUUUGAAUUGCUUCAAUACUGACUUUUUUACCCGUGUGUUUUGCCAGAAUUUAACGGGUGAUCUUCGCCGAUUGUCUGUUAGAACUGACAGGUUUACUUUGAAAAAAUUAGAGUGCUCAAAGCAAGCUUGAUUGCUUGAAUAUUCGUGCAUGGAAUAAUAGAAUAGGAAGUCGUUUCUAUUUUGUUGGUUUUCGGAAAUCGACUUAAUGAUUAAUAGGGACAGUCGGGGGCAUUUGUAUUCAAACGACAGAGGUGAAAUUCUUGGACCGUUUGAAGACAAACUACUGCGAAAGCAUUUGCCAAGAAUGUUUUCAUCA
rnacentral:rRNA from 1 species